UACGAAGGGGGCUAGCGUUGCUCGGAAUCACUGGGCGUAAAGGGUGCGUAGGCGGGUCUUUAAGUCAGGGGUGAAAUCCUGGAGCUCAACUCCAGAACUGCCUUUCAUACUGAAGAUCUUGAGUUCGGGAGAGGUGAGUGGAACUGCGAGUGUAGAGGUGAAAUUCGUAGAUAUUCGCAAGAACACCAGUGGCGAAGGCGGCUCACUGGCCCGAUACUGACGCUGAGGCACGAAAGCGUGGGGAGCAAACAGG
rnacentral:rRNA from 1 species